rnacentral:snRNA from 1 species
GUGCUCACUUCAACUGCACAUACACUAAAACUGGAAUGAUCCAGAUAAGAUUAACAUGGCCCGGGCUGAAGGAAAUUCAUGAAGCAUCUCACAUUUUU